rnacentral:lncRNA from 1 species
UUUUUUCUUUGUAAACCCUAAUAGACACUUCAUCGCCGCUUUCAUUCUUCUGAAUCCAUCUCUGUGUUUUCUUCACUCCAUUGAAGCCGCUUAUUCGAUUCUUUGAAUUGUGUAGGAGAAACACCGGUUUCUUUCAUCGAUUCAUUUGCAGAAUUUAGGUUCACCAUUAUUCGAUUACUUAGAUGAUGUUCUUCCUUCAGCGAUUCGUCAAUGUUCAUCAAAGUUCUUCAAUUGGUAACACAGCUAUGCCAGGUAUGGGUACAUUGGCGAACUCGAGAACUUUGUUAAGCAAAUGUCAUUUGACCCAACUACAUCUAUGUUGAUUAUAGUUUUUUAUGCAUGUCUUGAUUAUAAACAUGAGAGGUUUGGGAAAUGGGCAGCUGGUCAUCUUAAUGAUUUGAAUCCAUCAGUCCCAUUUAGAUUUGAACUCAUGGAUCAUAGAAGAAUGGCUUGAAGGAUCAGUGAGUUGUUUGGUUGAACGUCUGAUUCUCAGGAUAUACUGUUGAAUGAGUGUUUGGAGUAAAUCCUAAAACGCAAUUCUCCAAUCGUUUUUCACGGAUUCAUCAUUCGGGUACCAAAGGAAAUCCCGUAAAAGUUACGGCUACAACAGGCAAAAAAAAUUGGAUCCGUGCAGUGUCAAAGGGGUGUGGGUCACCAGCAGUUGCUCUUUUGAAGGUCAUGCCACCUGUUGUGUUAAAUACAUGUACGUUUCCUGAUCUUAUAUGGCAAUUUGUAUUUUUAAUCGACAUUCAUAAAUACACAAUAUUCGUUUUUCAUGGCGAUUGGUUUUCGAGAGUAAAUACAGAUCUCAAUAAGAGUGUUUGCUAUUGCUUGAUGACUAGCUUUUCAGUGUGUGGAUGUGCAAACAUGUUUAAUUGUGAAUUAGUUAUAUUUAUACUUUUUUCGCUUUCAGAUGCAUAUAUAUACGUAUUGGCAUAUACAUUUUGUGAUUUUUUUUUGCUGUUACAAUGAUUCACGUCAUGAUCUUCUGCUGGAAUUUCAAAUUGAUCCUUCAUCUUCUCUCCUGGAUUACAAAGCUUUAUACCACAUUAUCAAGAGGGAAUCCGAUGUUCAUUUUUUUUUCAAUCACAAUACCACGAUAUAUCGCUUCAACUAAACAUUAGGUUUUGAAUACAAAUUCUUGAAUUUGCUACUAAAAGAUUGAAUCUUGAAUGUUAUUGGUUGAAGAUUCAGAUGAUUUUAUUCAAGGGUUACAUGGGGCUGUAGUGGGGUUAGGUGUGCGAUGAUGCCAUCACAAUUUGGUGAGAAUGGGAAGCCAAAAGGGCUUUAGAUGUUUGAAUCAGAAUGUUCGCUACGACAAGAUGAUUUCUUUCCUCGGACAGCCACACCUUUGGAAGACAUCUGCAAAUCACUUUUCUGAUGCAUAAAAGACACAUUCACAUCGGAUGAGGGAUAGAAUAAUCAUCCGAAGAGGCUUUAUGCACCCGGUUGCCUUUAUCACAUUGUACAGAGAAAACCUUUCGGAUGUGGUAGGUUUCCACCGGUUGUAAGGAGAGUGGUCCCUCUAAAUGGGAGAUUUGAGCACAUAGUUUCAGCCAUGACAAUUAAUAAGGGAAUAAUUCUCGGAUUUGUGCCUUCCGCUGAUUCUCAAGUAAAGGCAGCAAAGUUGAGAGAUUUUAAUAUGUCACAGGCUGGAAGUUACAUUGCUUCUUAUUGUUUAUAUUGCUUAUGGGUACUCUCAAGGAGGUGCUGUUUCAUACGUUUUGCUGACACUUAGCAGUUGGUUUCUGGUGAUUUCAUGGUUGUUUGCUCCUUAUAUCUUCAACCCAUCUGGUUUUGAAUGGCAGAAGACUGUUGAAGAUUUCGAUGACUGGAUAAACUGGCUUCUGUAUAAAGGCGGAGUUGGGGUCAAAUAAGAACAGACGCAUAUCCAAACGAUCAGAGGCUGGAUACUUGAAACUAUCUUGAGUCUAUAGUUUACAAACUUGAUCUCACAGGAAAGAGUACAUCUGCUUCGAUGUAUGGUCUCUCCUGGGUGGUGUUGGCUGGAUUUAUCAUAAUAUUCAAGUAUUCAUGUGGUCACAAAACUCAUAAACUCGACGUUAAGGAGCAUGUUUAGCUCACCAGUCCUCUCACCUGCUUCAUUGACUUCACAUUUGGAGUCUACGAACUUGGUUUGUGUGGUGAGGGUGAGGUAUACAUGGUAGCACAUAUAACCUUACAACAGGCCUUGAGAAGGAAGGCGCGUCAUUCAAAGAAUUGCAUCAUAGCCGAUAACAGCUGAAGCAAGUUAAAGGAUUGUUGUAUAAACUCUUAAUUGCAAUUGUUUUACUCAUUGAUCUGACGCUCUACUUCGUCACCUGUUACUCAUCAACAUUUGACUUGCCAUCUAGAUUCGGAAGUUAUCUCAGCAUUGGUUUCAAUAGGUUCGGAAGUUACCUCAGCGAUAUGAUUCAUGGAGAUGCUACAUUUUCAUAGAGAUUUAAUUUCAUUUGAUUUUCAUGUACUGGAAGCUUUCAUGUAUGGCUUAAAUUGUAGUGUAUGAGAUUAUUUUGUCAUGGUUCAUGCAAGAAGUUCAUAUAAUGAUUGCUAGAUGAACAAAGUUAUUAGGAGAAUAAGGAAAUGUCUAUAGUCUUAUUGAAUAGAAUUAUUUAUUUGGCAUAUAUGUAAACAUCCUUGAUUAGCGUAUAGAAGAAUCUCUUGAAUGAUCA